rnacentral:rRNA from 1 species
CAUGCUAGACGAGUUCGAUCAUGGCUCAGAACGAACGCUGGCGGCACGCUUAACACAUGCAAGUCGAACGAAGCACAGAUUUCGGUCUGUGACUUAGUGGCGGACGGGUGAGUAACACGUGGGAACCUACCUAUUAGUGGGGGAUAACUGCUGGAAACGGCAGCUAAUACCGCAUACGCCCUUCGGGGGAAAGAUUUAUCGCUAAUAGAUGGGCCCGCGCCGGAUUAGGUAGUUGGUAGGGUAAUGGCCUACCAAGCCGAUGAUCCGUAGCUGGUCUGAGAGGAUGGCCAGCCACACUGGGACUGAGACACGGCCCAGACUCCUACGGGAGGCAGCAGGUGGGGAAUAUUGGACAAUGGGGGAAACCCUGAUCCAGCGAUGCCGCGUGAGUGACGAAGGCCUUCGGGUUGUAAAACUCUUUCACCUGUGAAGAUUAUGACGGUAGCAGGAGAAGAAGCACCGGCAAACUCUGUG